GGGCGGGUAGCUUAGGUUGGUUGGAGCACCCGGCUGAUAACCGGGAGGUCGCAAGUUCAAAUCUUGCCUCGCCCA
rnacentral:tRNA from 2 species